rnacentral:rRNA from 1 species
GACGGAAGGUGCAAGCGUUGCUCGGAAUCACUGGGCGUAAAGGGUGCGUAGGCGGCUUGGUGGGUCUGGUGUGAAAGCCCCGGGCUCAGCCCGGGAAGGGCACUAGAAACUGCCGAGCUGGAGUGCCGGAGGGGAGAGUGGAAUUCCUGGUGUAGCGGUGAAAUGCGUAGAUAUCGGGAGGAACAUCUGUGGCGAAGGCGACUGCCUGGACCAGCACUGACACUGAGGCACGAAAGCGUGGGGAGCAAACAGG